CCGCCGCGGGAAUACGGAGGGUGCAAGCGUUAAUCGGAAUUACUGGGCGUAAAGCGCACGCAGGCGGUCUGACAAGUCAGAUGUGAAAUCCCCGGGCUUAACCUGGGAACUGCAUUUGAAACUGUCAGGCUGGAGUCUUGUAGAGGGGGGUGGAAUUCCAGGUGUAGCGGUGAAAUGCGUAGAGAUCUGGAGGAAUACCGGUGGCGAAGGCGGCCCCCUGGACAAAGACUGACGCUCAGGUGCGAAAGCGUGGGGAGCAAACAGGAUUAGAUACCCCUGUAGUCCCUGUCUCUUAUACACA
rnacentral:rRNA from 1 species